CCUACGGGAGGCUGCAGUGGGGAAUAUUGGGCAAUGGGCGCAAGCCUGACCCAGCAACGCCGCGUGAAGGAAGAAUGCUUUCUGGUUUUAAACUUCUUUUUACAGGGAAGUGCAGAAGACGGUACCUGUGGAUUAAUCUAUGCCUAACUACGUGCCAGCAGCCGCGGUAAUACGUAGGGGGCAAGUGUUGUCCGGAUUUCCUGGGUGAAAAGGGAGUGUAGCCGGGUUGACAAGUCAGAUGUGAAAUUCGGGGGCUCAACCCCAGAACUGCAGUUGACACUGUUGGUCUUGAGUAUAGGAGAGGCAGGCGGAAUUCCUGGUGUAGCGGUGAAAUGCGUAGAUAUCAGGAGGAACACCAGUGGCGAAGGCGGCUUGCUGGACGACAACUGACGGUGAGGCGCGAAAGCGUGGGGAGCAAACAGGAUUAGAUACCCGAGUAGUC
rnacentral:rRNA from 1 species